rnacentral:rRNA from 1 species
UACGUAGGGUCCGAGCGUUGUCCGGAAUUACUGGGCGUAAAGAGCUCGUAGGUGGUUUGUCGCGUUGUUCGUGAAAACUCACAGCUCAACUGUGGGCGUGCGGGCGAUACGGGCAGACUUGAGUACUGCAGGGGAGACUGGAAUUCCUGGUGUAGCGGUGGAAUGCGUAGAUAUCGAGAGGAACACCUGCGGCGAAGGCGGGUUGCUGGGCCGACACUGACGCUGAUGCGCGAAAGCCAGGGGAGCGAACGGG